AUCAGUAUGAAAUAUAUUUGCUCUAUUUUCGUUUAAACAAUAUCUUAUCUCCUCGAAUUAGUCUAAGAAGUGUUUAUAUCAUUUACAAUGAAAUUGUUAUCAUUUUUGAGGGCUUUAUUUUAUAGUGGUAAAUAAUUUAGUAAAUUCGAAUUGGCGACAUAGGCCUAUAUCGGAUUUGAAAUUCAGUUGUAUUGGCGGACAAAAAAACAACGAGCUGACAGACAAAGUUGAAUAUUCCAAACAAAAUGAAAAGAUUGUGGAAAUUAUGAUAAUUCAACAUCUGGCAAAAGUUCAGGAGGAAGAUGAAAGUAUUAAGAGGAAAAGAAAAACGAAAACUUACCAAGAUUUUGUGACAGAAAGUGUGAUGAGAUUUAGGUUGGAGACGGUAAUGAUACGCUUACAGUAUGCCCCAGAUCGACACAGUGGAGGAGGACGAAAGAAGAUACAUAAACAUUGCUAUUUAUAAUAAUAACAAAAUAUUCAGAAUAUUGUUCCAUUUAACAUUCAGAUCUAGAUUCAGUUAUAAAAUACAAAGACAAAUAUACAAUCAGUGAACUGGAUAGAUGAUUGGAAAAUCCCAAAAUCAGGGUGAUCAGUUCAUGAUCAGUGGUGAAAUAAAAAAAAAACACAUGCAUGGAUGUUUACUAUACAAAAUGUCAGUGGUAAUAUUCAAGAAGGAUUUUGUGUAUCUAAUUUCUAAAACAUGCUUAUUUAAUACAUAAAGCGUUAUUAAAGUACUUACUUUCAAGUUUAAUAGUUUCAAAAAAUAUUAUGUAAAUCUUGCAUUUGUUAUCGUACCACAUUUCUUGUUUGGAACUUGUGAUUCCGAGUAUGCAAAUAAAUUGCUAAAAUUAUAAGAA